GUUCUAAUCAUUCAACGGAGUGGUAAUUAAUGGCAGAGGCAAUGUGAUGAUUAAAGGUGGCAACUGGUAUGGGAUUUGGAAAGGUUGUUUGUGCUCAUGAUUACCGUUAUUCAGCCAUGAAAUAAAAUAGCCAGUACUGUAUGAGAGUUCCGUUGCUCCAGCAUUACUCGCUCCUGUAUGCUUCUUGAUGAAUUAGCGGGGAAACUAGAGGACGUCCAUUUACGUCAUUACUCAGUGUUGUAAAGCAGAAUCCUGUAGCAGAAAAGUCACUGUGUAUGUUGUAACGAUAUGUUCUGGCGGUGGAAUAUUUGAUGAUAUUUGGACGAUGAUUGACGUAGACUCUAGGCGCAGAUCCCUCCAGAUUACGGAUAAGAGUUUAUUGGUUAUAAUUAUGAAAGUGGGAAAGAAAUGGAAUGGCAAUGAUCUAGAACAAUGCAUCGUAAACAACUUUAGAAGAUGCGUGGACCACUGAGCCAUUGACCGUGAAUAAUAUGCAAUAAAUUCAUUUGUGAAUGUGAAUCUUUCACUGUGCCGAAUGAACAUGCAUUAUUCUGUUGUCGACAAAUCCUUGAGGCUCUCACCUAUAAAGCGCAAGCCAUUAUUUGAUUUGCCUCCUGCUCUCUCUCUUUUCCUCUGUAAUCUUGUGCAGGUGAAAAAAAAAAAGAGGAGUCUACUUUAAGUCAUGAGGAAGCAAACCUUUUUUGCACCACCAACCCAUAGUGAUCCAGUUCAUUAAUAAACGAGCAUGCAAACUUAAAUUCCACCUCCAAAACAAAAAAACCAGUAAACCAGUAUUUAUUUUGACUUUACCUGUUUACAGCUGUAUUAAUGCCCAUGUUUGUCUUGUGGUGGGGGUUAAAACUUGAGAAGCUGUUCAUAUGAAUGAUGGGGGUGGGGCAUUAUGGCUACGGCAUGGACAUGUAAAUCUCAGCCUUGUGUGUGGAGUGUUCUCAUCAGCAUGGUUAUAUGGUUGUGCAUGAUGUCUCAGAAAGUGAGGGAAAUGUUUCAGCUUUUGUUUUUCCAUUUCAUUGUUGAAGUGUCCCAUUACUGUGCCACCACCACUCGCUUUUAUUGACUUGGAAAAGGCAGAAUAAAGAAGCGCCGAGAUUGGCGUCCCUAAUUUGUAACGUUCUUGCGUUCUCCUCUAGCUUCUAAUUUUCCUCCAUCAUCGGAAAAUGGAGCGCAGAUGAGAGGGUUCUUAGUUUCAAGGACUUCCUUCUUAGCAAAAGCCAGAGCCCUUGUUUUCAGCUUCCAAGAUCCAAUGUGUGUUUGGACAGCACAUCCAGGAUUGUGAACAUUUGUGACAAAACCACGUGUGACAGACAGUAGUACCACUACCACUAAGUUUGUCCAAUAGCAGAGACUUGGCUCUAUGGAGAAAAGAAAAGCUCAUCUGCCGAAGACAGGAAAAAGCCAGUGUGAAGUUAAAAAUGCAAAUCAAUACUGUUAAUUUUGCCCAUGUUUUAGAUCACAUGUUAAUCUGGACCAAAUUGGAUCCCCACAUGCAAGUAUAGAACUUGAACACACUGAUUCUAGAUCAAGCGCUUUGAUCUGCUCAUCUUUUCAAAGUGAUUCAUUGGAGCACUAUAAACUGUUUUUCUAAAUUACUUCAAUUUCACAUUGUUUCUCUGCCACAGCAC